CUAGCACAUAGGGCAGAAGGGUGGUCUGUUGCCAGCUAGGGGCACACAGCACAGACCCAGGACCACUGCCAAACAAUGGCUCAUUGUCUCAAUGGUUUAUUUCCCCUGAAAUCACAGAGAGCCACAGGACAACAGCACUAUUGGAAAUGUUGGCUCUGGACUAUUGUGCCUGAGAGUCGCGCCUCUCUUAGGGACCAGCUACGAAACCCAGAGAAAAAGAUCCUCUUAUUCCUGCCAGAGAGACCAGCAAAAGACAUUAGAAAUGUCUCUAAAUGUUGAACAAAGCUCCAUUGUGAAUGGGAAACUGAAUGGGCA
rnacentral:lncRNA from 1 species